UACGUAGGGGGCAAGCGUUGUCCGGAAUCAUUGGGCGUAAAGCGCGUGUAGGCGGCUUGGUAAGUCUGCUCUGAAAGCCCGGGGCUCAACCCCGGGAGGCGGGUGGAUACUGCUGAGCUCGAGUCCGGAAGAGGCGAGUGGAAUUCCUGGUGUAGCGGUGAAAUGCGCAGAUAUCAGGAGGAACACCGAUGGCGAAGGCAGGUCUCUGGGCAUUAACUGACGCUGAGGAGCGAAAGCAUGGGGAGCGAACAGG
rnacentral:rRNA from 1 species